rnacentral:sRNA from 1 species
CGAAAUGAGAAAUGAAAAAGAAUCUCUCCUCCCCCAAGUUAUGUCUCUUCUUCUCGCCUAAGUCUUCUUCUUCUUCUUCUUCCCCAUGCCAGUUCAUCGUGUCCCUCAACUCCGGUGAGCUUUGCCGCCACGGAUUGGUGACACAGAGCCAUCCCAGUAGAUGCUCUCGGCCUCCCCACUAGUGGAUCCGGUUGCCACCACUCCGACCGGCCAUCGGCGCUGGCAACGCGACCGCGUCCUCUACGGCAUGCUCUUGCCCCAUCAUCCACAUCGAUUUGGGUCUUUGGGCCACUCCAAGGUCUAGCCUUCAAGGGCAUGUCCGCCUCCACCAUGUCAUCGUAGGGCACCGGUCCGCUGCCUUGGUCAGAUACGAUCGAUCCAAUCCGCACUGGUGCUCACUCUGCAGCGUGAUCUUGAACCUGUGGUGAAUCCAUGGAAUGAUCCCCUAAUUCGAAUCACACACAGAAAAGCAAUGGCAUCAGCUCAUGUGCCAACUACUGUGGCUUCUAUUUGGAGGUCCAACAGAUGGAUAUAAACUUGAGACUGUUUCUCUGAAUGAUGCGAGUGCUUAUCUUCUGCCCAAGUCAGCUGAUCUACAGUUGGGGAGGUUUCUUCUUUGAGCAACAAGGUGUCAUGAAGAGCAUAGCUAUGCGGAAAUGUUGAAUGUUUCUCUGAAAGUCCAUGUUUUUGUGGACUUCUCUAAAAAUGAGGAAGAGCGCUCCUUGACUCCCCGAAAGAGAUGGAUCCUAGCAUCCUCGAUGUAAAUUAUUUCCCCACGUAGUGUUAGAUUACCAUAUCGAUGUUUACAUACCGGACAUUUGUAUUUAUUAUGUGCCAUUAACUAUAUAUUCCGCGCACGCAGCGGAGUGGCUGUUUCUUUCUAGUACUUAUUAUAUGACACCAUAUUGCUCUUUCCAAAAAAAUAUAGCGAUUACUUCCAAAUAAAAAAAAUAAUUGUAUUUAGUC